AACGCUAGCUACAGGCUUAACACAUGCAAGUCGAGGGGCAGCAUUUCAGUUUGCUUGCAAACUGGAGAUGGCGACCGGCGCACGGGUGAGUAACACGUAUCCAACCUGCCGAUAACUCGGGGAUAGCCUUUCGAAAGAAAGAUUAAUACCCGAUGGCAUAAUUAGACCGCAUGGUCUUAUUAUUAAAGAAUUUCGGUUAUCGAUGGGGAUGCGUUCCAUUAGGCAGUUGGUGAGGUAACGGCUCACCAAACCUUCGAUGGAUAGGGGUUCUGAGAGGAAGGUCCCCCACAUUGGAACUGAGACACGGUCCAAACUCCUACGGGAGGCAGCAGUGAGGAAUAUUGGUCAAUGGGCGCAGGCCUGAACCAGCCAAGUAGCGUGAAGGAUGACUGCCCUAUGGGUUGUAAACUUCUUUUAUAUGGGAAUAAUGUUUUCCACGUGUGGAAUUUUGUAUGUACCAUAUGAAUAAGGAUCGGCUAACUCCGUGCCAGCAGCCGCGGUAAUACGGAGGAUCCGAGCGUUAUCCGGAUUUAUUGGGUUUAAAGGGAGUGUAGGUGGACAGUUAAGUCAGUUGUGAAAGUUUGCGGCUCAACCGUAAAAUUGCAGUUGAUACUGGCUGUCUUGAGUACAGUAGAGGUGGGCGGAAUUCGUGGUGUAGCGGUGAAAUGCUUAGAUAUCACGAAGAACUCCGAUUG
rnacentral:rRNA from 1 species